CUUCAUUUGGGAGAUGGAGUGUUCUGUAGCUAGAAAUCCUAUUGCUAGCUGGAAUCUGUCUACAAGGUCUGGAUCACAUCCUGUAGGUAUGACAAGCUUGACUUGAAGUUAACUGAAAGUGAAGCAGUCACCAUUUUAAGCUAAUGAGAUCUGUUUCUCCACAGUCACACUGCUUUCCUGAAGAAUACUGACAAGUUUAGCAAGAAAUGGGAGAAAAUGAUGGGUAUCAAUACUUAGAAAUGAUUAUAUUAUUAUGAUAUAUACACUGAUGCAGGAAUCACUGUUGUUAACAAUGAGGUCAAACAAGGAAUGCGAGUGGUGGUGGUAGGGAGAAAACAGAAGCAGAACUUGAUAUAGAUGGGAGGCAGAGCAAGAUCUCAGACCAGCUGUUGUCCUAACUAAAAAGCCUUUACAAGUAUUCCUGAGCAUUAUUUUCAUUAAUUCAUGCUCCCUCCACUGCCUUUAAAUAAACGAAUGACUCCCAUCCUCUCAUUAAUCCAUGAAGAAGCUUUGAUCCAGUUUUUACAAGUGCAGUUCUUUGUAGAAGAAAAGAGAAACGUUCUCUUCCUUCCCCACCCCUUCCUCCCCUCCUGUCUUCUUCCCAGAGGAACUUUUUGGCUCUACUGUUAGCCAGAAAUAGAAUGAAGCCUGCUGACUGCAAGCUUCUGUUGGACAAAUAAUAUAGCUUGCUUUAAACAUAUCGGUACCCACAGUUGAGCCAGGCAAACAGAUGGAAAAAGUUUGAAAUAAAGCUGUG
rnacentral:lncRNA from 1 species